AGCAAGAAUAGUCUUAUUUCAUUUUAAGAAAUCUUUAAAAUGGUCCUUAUUGUUAUUGUGUAUGUAUACUUGCUUGUGUGCACAGGUGCUCUCAUGUGUGUGAUCAUGUGUGUGUACACAUGCUUAGGAGUGUGGGAGGUCAGCCCUGGAUAUUGUUUAUCAGUCUCUGUCUGUGUUUUCUUUUUUUGAGACAGGGUCUCUCACUGGUUGGAAAGAACUGUUUAGGCAAGGUUGGCCAGUUAGGACUCAGAGAUCUGCAUCUCUGUGUGCUCCCCCCUCCCCUACCCAGAGUGCUGUGAUUACAAAUUCAUGUAUCGGGGAUUGAACUCGGGCCCUAAUGCUUGUGUGGCAAGCCCUUGAGCCUCUGAGCUCUCACCCUACUUCAAGUCUAUUAUUUUUCCCAUAACUUCUUGAAGCCCAAGGCAACUCCACGCCACUGCAAGUAAGUUAAUUUAUUCCCAUUUAGCACUUUCUUCCUAAAUUGGGUGAGGAGGAAGAUGAUUCAGGGCCCCCAGCGAAUCUCCCCUGCACUGUGAAUAGAUGUCUUGUCGAAUGCCGGGCAGAUCCAGUUGUGGACUGCGUCAGUUUAGCUGCUUCCCCUUGACUGCCGCUUGUCCCCUCCCAGGGACAAGGAGAUGAUAGUUCUCUUGUGUGUUUGUAUUUCCUCUUCUCAGGAGCUGAGGUGUGCCUUCUCUGGUCCCCACCUCCCACUGCCUUGGCAUUUCUUAUCUUUUGGGGUUCUUUUGUUUCACUUGCCCAGAGCUGGGAAUUGCAGUUAAACCAAGUCUCCCCCUGCUUGGCACUCCUGUCCCGUGGCCUUGGAACUCCCAGCAAGGAUACUUCUCUGUUUGCCCCACAGCGAAACUUCAGCUUUGCUAUAAAUGGCAAAGUUACUGAAUUGCCUUGGCUCCACGCCAAAUGCUGGAAAUAAUUUGAGAGUAUAAAAACAUAGCUUUCAUAUGAAAAUAUUUAUUUUAGGAGCCUUCGGUAGGCUUGUGUGUGUGUGUGCGCGCGCGUGCUAGUCAUUUUCAUUAUGAAUUAGUUCCUUUCUCUGACUGUGUGGAUAAACCUUCCUGAACAUCUGAUUUACUGAGAUGGCGACGAUUCUUGUCCCACACUGUCACCCCUCCCAUCAGGGAAGGCAUAAAUGACGCAAUCGAAUUUGAAUUAAAAAAAAAAUCUGCUCUGAGAUGCCUUUGGUACACAGGAAAGGCUGCUGGGAACACGUACUUUUUGUUGUUAAGAUUUGUUUUUUUAAUGCAGGGCGUGGUGGCCCACACCUUUAAUCCCAGCUCUCCAGAGGCUAUGGCAAGUUGAUAAAGGAUCUCUGUGAGUCUGAGGCUAGCCUGGUCUACCCAGUGAGUUCUACACUCAGAGAAAUCCUGUCUCAAAAACAAGCAAGCAAACAAACAAUAACAUCAAAACAGCACCCUCCCCCCCC
rnacentral:lncRNA from 1 species